rnacentral:rRNA from 1 species
CGAACGGGUGAGUAAUACGUGAGUAACCUGCCCUUGACUCUGGGAUAAGCCCGGGAAACUGGGUCUAAUACUGGAUGCUACAUGUCACCGCAUGGUGGUGUGUGGAAAGGGUUUACUGGUCUUGGAUGGGCUCACGGCCUAUCAGCUUGUUGGUGAGGUAAUGGCUCACCAAGGCGACGACGGGUAGCCGGCCUGAGAGGGUGACCGGCCACACUGGGACUGAGACACGGCCCAG